rnacentral:rRNA from 1 species
UACGGAGGGGGCUAGCGUUGUUCGGAAUUACUGGGCGUAAAGCGCACGUAGGCGGCUUUGUAAGUUAGAGGUGAAAGCCCGGGGCUCAACUCCGGAACUGCCUUUAAGACUGCAUCGCUAGAAUUGUGGAGAGGUAAGUGGAAUUCCGAGUGUAGAGGUGAAAUUCGUAGAUAUGGGGAGGAACACCGGUGGCGAAGGCGGCCACCUGGACGGUAACUGACGCUGAGGCGCGAAAGCCAGGGGAGCAAACGGG